rnacentral:tRNA from 1 species
UGGGAGCAUAGCUCAGAGGUAGAGCAAUGGAUUCUUAAUCCGUGGUCGAAGGUUCAAAUCCUUCUCUCCCAGCCA